CAGAUGAGACCACCGUAGAACAUGGUUUCUUCCAAAAGAAUGUUUGGCAGCUUUCUCGUGAGCCUGAGGGGAGACUGAGAAGUGGUUUCGUCUCUUUCCUAAUACAGGCUGCUUUUGAUAACUCUGCUCCUGGAUCAAAGCGGCAUUUUAAUUACAUGGAGUGUCUAAGCAAGAAUAGAUGACCUUAUUGACUUAUCUUCAAAUUCAUUGAAAUUUUCGACUAUCUGAUCGAAUCUCCGGUUAAGCAUCUCUGAUUCUUAAACAUAUGACAUUGAGGAUUCAUCUUCAGGGCUUUUAACUGCUGAGAAGAAAGGCAGGCAGAUAAAAGAACCUGAGAAAAUGGACAGCACUGUUGGGGGCUCGUGAGCUCCUGUCACAGGACUGAGCUUGAACAAUUUCGAUUAAAGCCCCAUGUUUGAGACUGUCAUUAGACCUGCAUUAAAUUACAUAUCUGGAGUGUUAAAAAAUAAAGAGUACAGGAGC